rnacentral:lncRNA from 1 species
GGAUAGACCCUCCGAUCCAGACACUGUACUUGCGCUCAGGUGGAGCAACCACCUUGAUCUUCAUGCUGCUCGGAGCAAGGGCGGUGAUCUCCUUGCUCAUACGGUCAGCGAUGCCUGGGAACAUUGUUGAGCCUCCACUGAGCACAAUGUUGCCGUACAGGUCCUUCCUGAUAUCCACAUCACACUUCAUGAUGGAGUUGUAGGUAGUCUCAUGGAUUCCAGGAGAUUCCAUGCCAAUCAUAGAUGGCUGGAAGAGGACCUCAGGGCACCUAAACCUCUCCGCGCCGAUGGUAAUCACCUGGCCAUCAGGCAGCUCGUAGCUCUUCUCAACCGAGGAGCUGUUCUUGGCAGUCUCCAGCUCCUGCUCAUAGUCAAGGGCCACGUAUGCAAGCUUCUCCUUGAUGUCCCUCACAAUUUCCCGCUCAGCAGAGGUGGUGAAAGAGUAUCCUCUCUCAGUGAGGAUCUUCAUGAGAGAAUCCGUGAGGUCACGGCCAGCAAGAUCCAGACGAAGGAUAGCAUGAGGAAGUGCAUAUCCUUCAUAGAUGGGCACAGUGUGGCUCACACCAUCACCAGAGUCAAGAACAAUACCUGCCAAGUUAUGAACAGGGUUAGCUAGAUACUACUAGAACUGAUAAUUGGUUCACUACUGGUAAUCACAUUUUUCAUCUACCUAACUCUACUGUAUACUAACCUAUGUAUAGAAGACAAAAAUUACACAAGCAUGCAAUGACAAAUUGGAUGCAAACAAGUACUUGAUAAUCACCCAGGUUUAUAUGUUAACAUAUCAGUUGCUUCAAUGAGGUACGACGCAGCUCAACAAUAUUAUGAAUAUAAUUAAUGCAAAACUGGGAAGAGAACGACAAGCGGAAUGGAAUACUUCAUACCUGUGGUACGACCACUAGCAUAGAGUGAAAGCACAGCUUGAAUUGCAACAUACAUGGCAGGGACAUUGAAGGUCUCAAACAUGAUCUGUGUCAUCUUCUCCCUGUUAGCUUUGGGGUUCAAAGGAGCUUCAGUGAGCAACACUGGGUGCUCCUCAGGUGCAACACGGAGCUCAUUGUAGAAAGUGUGAUGCCAGAUCUUCUCCAUGUCAUCCCAGUUGCUGACAAUACCGUGCUCGAUUGGGUACUUCAACGUGAGAAUACCUCUCUUGGACUGUGCCUCGUCUCCGACAUAUGCAUCCUUCUGCCCCAUUCCUACCAUCACACCAGUGUGGCGAGGACGACCAACAAUGCUAGGGAAAACAGCCCUUGGUGCAUCGUCACCAGCAAACCCAGCCUGCAAAAUUAAAUACAAUUCAAAUUGGUGUAGUUGCAGUGGGAGAUGAAAUAUGUAACCCUGAUUAUUAAGGGAUGAAGUUCCUAACCUUGACCAUUCCAGUUCCAUUGUCACAGACAAGAGGCUGGAUAUCCUCACCGUCAGCCAUUUCCUACAGGU